AUGAACGCUGGCGGCGUGCCUCAUACAUGCAAGUCGAGCGAACAGACGAGGAGCUUGCUCCUCUGACGUUAGCGGCGGACGGGUGAGUAACACGUGGAUAACCUACCUAUAAGACUGGGAUAACUUCGGGAAACCGGAGCUAAUACCGGAUAAUAUAUUGAACCGCCUGGUUCAAUAGUGAAAGACGGUUUUGCUGUCACUUAUAGAUGGAUCCGCGCCGCAUUAGCUAGUUGGUAAGGUAACGGCUUACCAAGGCGACGAUGCGUAGCCGACCUGAGAGGGUGAUCGGCCACACUGGAACUGAGACACGGUCCAGACUCCUACGGGAGGCAGCAGUAGGGAAUCUUCCGCAAUGGGCGAAAGCCUGACGGAGCAACGCCGCGUGAGUGAUGAAGGUCUUCGGAUCGUAAAACUCUGUUAUUAGGGAAGAACAAAUGUGUAAGUAACUAUGCACGUCUUGACGGUACCUAAUCAGAAAGCCACGGCUAACUACGUG
rnacentral:rRNA from 1 species